UCCGGUGUGGUGUAAUGGCUAUCAUACUGCGCUUUCAAGGCAACUUCAAAGGUUCCGCAGGGACCGGGGUUCGAUUCCCCGCAUCGGAG
rnacentral:tRNA from 4 species